GAGUCCACAACACAAAGCUGGAUGUGCCCUCUCAAACUUUUUCCACGACGCACGGCGACGCGCGCAGAGCAAACCGCCCCCAGGUGGAUUCUAACACCAGAUUAACCAGCAAAGCAUUUUCUCCUGCUGGAGGUUAAGGAAAGAAAAAUAUGUGGAAAUCACAUGGAAGAUGUACAGAGUCACCUAUCAAGCGGCUUUUAAGACGCAGAGGAGGAUUAAGAGACUGUGCAGUUUUUUCUUUUGGAGAAGGUGAAGACUCAUCUCAGAAGGAUUUAAACUUUCAGGAGCAGCAGUGCCAGGCAGGAUGCAUUUUAGGCACACUGGAAAUCUGAAGCUCACGGAGACACUUUGAGGAUUAUAAAAAUGUGUAGUGUGCCUCUCCACAAGACAACGUCCCCGCAGCCCAAAGUCGCUGGGAUAGCAGAAUGUUGCAUUUGUGAUCCUCCUCGGCCUUCUCGGCAUGGGAGUGUGGGAGUGGUGAGGUCUGGGAGAUCACGACCUUAAUUCUCUCCAAGACAGACGGUUUAAUUAACACUGGAGGAAUCCUCGCUGGCUCCAGACCUCUACAAUGGGAAUGUGCAGGGGAAUUGGAUUGCCAAGGCCCCCUUCUACGUCGUCCACAUUGCGAGGAGACCACCUCACAGGGAUUUUCCCCUUCACCAGGUGUGGCACAGUGAGAGUCAGUGGAGAAGAUCUCCUGGUCUAGACAGGAGGACUGUCAGGGGGUUCAUCCCAAUAUUGGUGCUCCACUCCUCCACUCUUCAACUGUACGAGCACUUGAACCAGAAAUGAAUCGAGACCUGCCACAUCGAAGGAUGUCCCAAAUCCUUAACUGUGCUCUGAAGAGCGAUGAGAGAGGAUACAUAAGAGUAGUCUUCAUGGAAGUCUAUGAGUGACCAAAGCGCCUCCUUUAUUUAUUUUAUUUAUAUAGUUUAUUUGAUAGGGACAAUGCGGACAAACAUGGUACAACUUCUGUCUGCUAGAAAACAAGCUGUAGUAUGACUAGUUUCCACCUCCUGUCCCUAGUUAGCCUUUUAGUAAAGAAAAGAAGAAAAAGCAAAAAAAGAGAAAGAAAAGAGGACGAUAUCAAGGUUACAUACAAUAGAGUGCAUUCAAUAACAGCUGUGGUAAAAAAUAAGACAAAAAGGUGAAUAUUUACAAAUAUCAACUUAUCAGAUAUCUGUUAUUAAAUGGAUGCUGCAGCAGAUCGAACCUACAUGAUACAUC